UCAAAACACCAAUUCCUGUAUGAUCACUGAAGUUAAGCAAUGUGGAGCCUGGUCAGUACCUAGAUGGGUGACUGCUUGAGAAUGCUAGAUGCUGUAAG